UCUCUCCCCCGGGCUGUGGUGGAGGCUUCUUCUUUGGAGGCUUUUAAGCAGAGGCUGGAUGGCCAUCUGUCGGGGGUGCUUUGAAUGCAAUUUCCUGCUUCUUGCAGGGGGUUGGACUGGAUGGCCCAUGAGGUCUCUUCCAACUCUACUAUUCUAUGAUUCUAUGAUUCUAUGAAAGGACAUUAUAGUAACCAGUCCCUCUUGUUUGGUCAUGCAGAUGCCCCAUUCUGACCUCAGCAGAUGUAACUUCAAUGGCCAUGCAAGGAAUUCCAUGGCUGGCAAGAAGCAGAGAAGUCAACAAGUGAAUGAUCAACUCUCUUCCCUGCAUAGAUCAAUACAGGAAAGGGAUCCUUCUAUGAUCCACUGACUCUGAAAACAGAAGCAAGUGUUGUUCGCUGAACUCUUUAUCACUUUAUUAGCAACCUGAUACCACCUUACAGCAUUAACAAAAAUAAUCAACCCAAGGACAUUCUCUCAACAAGAAGAAUAAAUCUUCACCUUCAUUACGUUGACUCCAG
rnacentral:lncRNA from 1 species